UGCCUUCUCUCUCUCUCUCUGCACAGCGCCUCUCCUUCACAGGAGAGGCGCUGCGCAGAGAGGGAGAAGGCG
rnacentral:miRNA from 1 species